UACGUAGGGUGCAAGCGUUGUCCGGAAUUAUUGGGCGUAAAGAGCUCGUAGGCGGUCUUUCUCGUCUUCUGUGAAAACCUGGGGCUUAACCCCGGGCCUGCAGUGGGUACGGGCAGACUAGAGUGUGGUAGGGGAGACUGGAAUUCCUGGUGUAGCGGUGAAAUGCGCAGAUAUCAGGAGGAACACCGGUGGCGAAGGCGGGUCUCUGGGCCAUAACUGACGCUGAGGAGCGAAAGCGUGGGGAGCGAACAGG
rnacentral:rRNA from 1 species